UACGGGGGGAGCAAGCGUUGUUCGGAUUUACUGGGCGUAAAGGGCGCGUAGGCGGCCACCGCAAGUCGACUGUGAAAUCUCCGGGCUUAACCCGGAAAGGUCAGCCGAUACUGCGGGGCUAGAGUGCAGAAGGGGCAACUGGAAUUCUCGGUGUAGCGGUGAAAUGCGUAGAUAUCGAGAGGAACACCUGCGGCGAAGGCGGGUUGCUGGGCUGACACUGACGCUGAACUGCGAAAGCUAGGGGAGCGAACAGG
rnacentral:rRNA from 1 species